AGCAGCCGCGGUAAUUCCAGCUCCAAUAACGUAUAUUAAAGUUGUUGCAGUUAAAAAGCUCGUAGUUGAACUUCAGGCCUGUCCAGAUGGUCCGCCUUAGUUGGUGUGUACUGUCCUUGGGUGGGUCCUACCUUCUGGCGAAGCGGCAUGGCCUUAAUUGGUUGUGUUGGGGAAGCAGGACUUUUUACUGUGAAAAAUUAGAGUGUUCAAAGCAGGCAUUAUAUGCUCGAAUACAUUAGCAUGGAAUAAUGGAAUAGGACGAUGGUUCUAUUUUGUUGGUUCUAGGACCGUUGUAAUGAUUAAUAGGGAUAGUUGGGGGCAUUAGUAUUCAAUUGUCAGAGGUGAAAUUCUUGGAUUUAUUGAAGACUAACUACUGACGAAAGCAUUUGCCAAGGAUGUUUUCAUUAAUCAAGAACGAAGUUAGGGGAUCGAAGACGAUCAGAUACCGUCGUAGUACUUAACCAUAAACUAUGCCGACUAGGAAGUCGGGCGAUGUUGAACAAAAUGACUCGGCUCGGCU
rnacentral:rRNA from 1 species